GACGAACGCUGGCGGCGUGCUUAACACAUGCAAGUCGAACGGAAAGGCCCUGCUUUUGUGGGGUGCUCGAGUGGCGAACGGGUGAGUAACACGUGAGUAACCUGCCCUUGACUUUGGGAUAACUUCAGGAAACUGGGGCUAAUACCGGAUAGGAGCUCCUGCUGCAUGGUGGGGGUUGGAAAGUUUCGGCGGUUGGGGAUGGACUCGCGGCUUAUCAGCUUGUUGGUGGGGUAGUGGCUUACCAAGGCUUUGACGGGUAGCCGGCCUGAGAGGGUGACCGGCGACAUUGGGACUGAGAGACGGCCCAGACUCCAACGGGAGGCAGCAGUGGGGAAUAUUGCACAAUGGGCGGAAGCCUGAUGCAGAAACGCCGCGUGCGGGAUGACGGCCUUCGGGUUGUAAACCGCUUUCGCCUGUGACGAAGCGUGAGUGACGGUAAUGGGUAAAGAAGCACCGGCUAACUACGUG
rnacentral:rRNA from 1 species